UACGGAGGAUGCGAGCGUUAUCCGGAUUUAUUGGGUUUAAAGGGUGCGUAGGCGGACUUUUAAGUCAGCGGUAAAAAUGCGGUGCUCAACGCCGUAGUGCCGUUGAAACUGAGAGUCUUGAGUGAGCGAGAAGUAUGCGGAAUGAGUGGUGUAGCGGUGAAAUGCAUAGAUAUCACUCAGAACACCGAUUGCGAAGGCAGCAUACCGGCGCUCAACUGACGCUGAGGCACGAAAGCGUGGGGAUCGAACAGG
rnacentral:rRNA from 1 species